GUCGCGAUAGCUCAGCUGGAUAGAGCAACGGUCUUCUAAACCGUAGGUCGAGAGUUCGAAUCUCUCUCGCGACA
rnacentral:tRNA from 7 species